rnacentral:rRNA from 1 species
AAUGUGCGUGGGCUUAAUAACACGGCAAAGAGAAGAGCAGUGCAAAUUUUCAUUGCUAGUCUUAUCUGCAACAUUGUUUGCCUGCAGGAGACGAAAUUGAGUGAUGUGACGAGGGGCCUGGUGGUCGAGACGUUGGGGUCGAGGUUUGGUGACAAUUUCUUGGUUCUGCCGGCUAAUGGCUCCAGGGGAGGGGUGCUGUUGGCU